GGCCACAAGGCCUGUUUCCGCGCUGUAUCUCAAAACAAAACUAAAGGUCUUAAGUGAUAGGUACAGAAUUAGGCCAUUCGGCCCAUCAAAUCUACUCCGCCAUUCAAUCAUGGCUGAUCUAUCUCUCCCUCCUAACUCCAU